UAGCAAUACAACUGGCGCACGGCGCACGGGUGCGUAACACGUGGGUAACCUGCCCUUUGGUGGGGAAUAACUCCGCGAAAGCGGAGCUAAUUCCGCAUAAGAUCCGCAAGGAUGAAAGCCGCAAGGCGCCGAAGGAGGGGCCCGCGCCCGAUUAGCUAGUUGGUAGGGUAACGGCCUACCAAGGCUUUGAUCGGUAGCUGGUCUGAGAGGAUGAUCAGCCACACUGGAACUGAGACACGGUCCAGACUCCUACGGGAGGCAGCAGUGGGGAAUCUUGCACAAUGGGCGAAAGCCUGAUGCAGCGACGCCGCGUGGGGGAUGAAGCAUUUCGGUGUGUAAACCCCUUUCGAUCCGGACGAAACCCCGCAAGGGAUUGACGGUACGGAUAUAAGAAGCCCCGGCUAACUACGUGCCAGCAGCCGCGGUAAGACGUAGGGGGCCAGCGUUGUUCGGAAUUACUGGGUGUAAAGGGUUCGUAGGCGGUGCGGCAAGUUGGGAGUGAAAUCUCUGGGCUUAACCCAGAGGCUGCUUCCAAAACUGCUGUGCUUGAGUGUGGGAGAGGCGCGUGGAAUUGCAGGUGUAGCGGUGAAAUGCGUAGAUAUCUGCAGGAACACCCGUGGCGAAAGCGGCGCGCUGGACCACUACUGACGCUGAGGAACGAAAGCUAGGGGAGCAAACAGGAUUAGAUACCCUGGUAGUCCUAGCCCUAAACGAUCAGGACUUGGGGUGCCACCCGUUCGGGUGUCGUCCCGGAGCUAACGCGUUAAGUCCUGCACCUGGGGAGUACGGUC
rnacentral:rRNA from 1 species